GAUGAACGCUGGCGGCGUGCCUAAUACAUGCAAGUCGAGCGAACAGAUAAGGAGCUUGCUCCUUUGACGUUAGCGGCGGACGGGUGAGUAACACGUGGGUAACCUACCUAUAAGACUGGGAUAACUUCGGGAAACCGGAGCUAAUACCGGAUAACAUUUGGAACCGCAUGGUUCUAAAGUGAAAGAUGGUUUUGCUAUCACUUAUAGAUGGACCCGCGCCGGAUUAGCUAGUUGGUAAGGUAACGGCUUACCAAGGCGACGAUACGUAGCCGACCUGAGAGGGUGAUCGGCCACACUGGAACUGAGACACGGUCCAGACUCCUACGGGAGGCAGCAGUAGGGAAUCUUCCGCAAAGGGCGAAAGCCUGACGGAGCAACGCCGCGUGAGUGAUGAAGGGUUUCGGCUCGUAAAACUCUGUUAUUAGGGAAGAACAAAUGUGUAAGUAACUGUGCACGUCUUGACGGUACCUAAUCAGAAAGCCACGGCUAACUACGUG
rnacentral:rRNA from 1 species